GCUACUGUGGUGUAGUGGUUUGAGCAUCGGACUACGACUCCGGACACAAGGGUUUGAUUCCCUGCUUGGCC